GAUGAACGCUGGCGGCGUGCCUAAUACAUGCAAGUCGAGCGAACAGACGAGGAGCUUGCUCCUCUGACGUUAGCGGCGGACGGGUGAGUAACACGUGGAUAACCUACCUAUAAGACUGGGAUAACUUCGGGAAACCGGAGCUAAUACCGGAUAAUAUAUUGAACCGCAUGGUUCAAUAGUGAAAGACGGUUUUGCUGUCACUUAUAGAUGGAUCCGCGCCGCAUUAGCUAGUUGGUAAGGUAACGGCUUACCAAGGCAACGAAGCGUAGCCGACCUGAGAGGGUGAACGGCAACACUGGAACUGAGACACGGUCCAGACUCCUACGGGAGGCAGCAGUAGGGAAUCUUCCGCAAUGGGCGAAAGCUUGACGGAGCAACGCCGCGUGAGUGAUGAAGGUCUUCGGAUCGUAAAACUCUGUUAUUAGGGAAGAACAAAUGUGUAAGUAACUAUGCACGUCUUGACGGUACCUAAUCAGAAAGCCACGGCUAACUACGUG
rnacentral:rRNA from 1 species